AGAGUUUGAUCCUGGCUCAGAAUCAACGCUGGCGGCGUGCCUCAGACAUGCAAGUCGAACGCGAAAGUCCCCUUCGGGGGAUAAGUAGAGUGGCGCACGGGUGAGUAACACGUAGGUAAUCUACCUUCGGGUGGGGAAUAACCCAGGGAAACUUGGGCUAAUACCGCAUAAUGCAGCGGCACCACAUGGUGACAGUUGUUAAAGCGGGGGAUCUUCGGAUCUCGCGCCUGAAGAGGAGCCUGCGGCAGAUUAGCUAGUUGGUAAGGUAACGGCUUACCAAGGCGACGAUUUGUAGCCGGCCUGAGAGGGCGGUCGGCCACACUGACACUGACAUACGGGUCAGACUCCUACGGGAGGCAGCAGUCGGGAAUUUUGGGCAAUGGGCGAAAGCCUGACCCAGCAACGCCGCGUGAAGGAUGAAAUCCCUCGGGAUGUAAACUUCGCAAGAAUGGGAAGAAUUAGUAGGGGUUAAUACCCCCUAUGAUGACGGUACCAUUUGUAAGCUCCGGCUAACUCCGUGCCAGCAGCCGCGGUAAUACGGGGGGAGCAAGCGUUGUUCGGAUUUACUGGGCGUAAAGGGCGCGUAGGCGGCCAGCACAAGUCAGUUGUGAAAUCUCCGGGCUUAACUCGGAAAGGUCAACUGAUACUGUGCGGCUAGAGUGCGGAAGGGGCAACUGGAAUUCUCGGUGUAGCGGUGAAGUGCGUAGAUAUCGAGAGGAACACCUGCGGCGAAGGCGGGUUGCUGGGCCGACACUGACGCUGAUGCGCGAAAGCCAGGGGAGCGAACGGGAUUAGAUACCCCGGUAGUCC
rnacentral:rRNA from 1 species